UGUGAAAUGUUGGGUUAAGUCCCGCAACGAGCGCAACCCUUAUCCUUUGUUGCCAGCGAUUAGGUCGGGAACUCAAAGGAGACUGCCGGUGACAAACCGGAGGAAGGUGGGGAUGACGUCAAGUCAUCAUGGCCCUUACGAGUAGGGCUACACACGUGCUACAAUGGCGUAUACAGAGGGAAGCGAGAGUGCGAGCUGGAGCGAAUCUCACAAAGUACGUCUAAGUCCGGAUUGGAGUCUGCAACUCGACUCCA
rnacentral:rRNA from 1 species